AGUGAACGCUGGCGGUAGGCCUAACACAUGCAAGUCGAACGGCAGCACAGUAAGAGCUUGCCCUUACGGGUGGCGAGUGGCGGACGGGUGAGGAAUACAUCGGAAUCUACUUUUUCGUGGGGGAUAACGUAGGGAAACUUACGCUAAUACCGCAUACGACCUACGGGUGAAAGCAGGGGAUCUUCGGACCUUGCGCGAUUGAAUGAGCCGAUGUCGGAUUAGCUAGUUGGCGGGGUAAAGGCCCACCAAGGCGACGAUCCGUAGCAGGUCUGAGAGGAUGAUCAGCCACACUGGAACUGAGACACGGUCCAGACUCCUACGGGAGGCAGCAGUGGGGAAUAUUGGACAAUGGGCGCAAGCCUGAUCCAGCCAUACCGCGUGGGUGAAGAAGGCCUUCGGGUUGUAAAGCCCUUUUGUUGGGAAAGAAAAGCAGCAGGUUAAUACCCCGCUGUUCUGACGGUACCCAAAGAAUAAGCACCGGCUAACUUCGUG
rnacentral:rRNA from 1 species